rnacentral:rRNA from 1 species
GAUGAACGCUGGCGGCGUGCCUAAUACAUGCAAGUCGAGCGAACAGACGAGGAGCUUGCUCCUCUGACGUUAGCGGCGGACGGGUGAGUAACACGUGGAUAACCUACCUAUAAGACUGGGAUAACUUCGGGAAACCGGAGCUAAUACCGGAUAAUAUAUUGAACCGCAUGGUUCAAUAGUGAAAGACGGUUUUGCUGUCACUUAUAGAUGGAUCCGCGCCGCAUUAGCUAGUUGGUAAGGUAACGGCUUACCAAGGCAACGAUGCGUAGCCGACCUGAGAGGGUGAUCGGCCACACUGGAACUGAGACACGGUCCAGACGACUACGGGAGGCAGCAGUAGGGAAUCUUCCGCAAUGGGCGAAAGCCUGACGGAGCAACGCCGCGUGAGUGAUGAAGGUCUUCGGAUCGUAAAACUCUGUUAUGAGGGAAGAACAAAUGUGUAAGUAACUAUGCACGUCUUGACGGUACCUAAUCAGAAAGCCACGGCUAACUACGUG